UACGUAGGCAGCGAGCGUUGUUCGGAAUUACUGGGCGUAAAGGGCUCGUAGGCGGCCAACUAAGUCAGACGUGAAAUCCCUCGGCUUAACCGGGGAACUGCGUCUGAUACUGGAUGGCUUGAAUCCGGGAGAGGGAUGCGGAAUUCCAGGUGUAGCGGUGAAAUGCGUAGAUAUCUGGAGGAACACCGGUGGCGAAGGCGGCAUCCUGGACCGGCAUUGACGCUGAGGAGCGAAAGCCAGGGGAGCAAACGGG
rnacentral:rRNA from 1 species